GAUAAACGCUGGCGGUGUGCCUAAUGCAUGCAAGUCGAACGGGGGAGAGGUCUUCGGGCUUCUCCCUAGUGGCGAACGGGUGCGUAACGCGUAAGUGACCUGCCCCUAAGUGGGGGAUAACCCUGAGAAAUUAGGGCUAAUACCGCAUAUGGUGCUGAGGGUAAAGCUUCAGCACUAAAGCUUCGGUGCUUGGGGAUGGGCUUGCGUCCGAUUAGCUAGUUGGUGGGGUAAUGGCCUACCAAGGCGAUGAUCGGUAGCUGAUCUGAGAGGAUGGUCAGCCACACUGGGACUGAGAUACGGCCCAGACUCCUACGGGAGGCAGCAGCAAGGAAUUUUUGCGCAAUGGGCGAAAGCCUGACGCAGCAACACCGCGUGGGGGAUGAAGGCUCUCGGGUUGUAAACCCCUUUUCUCGGGGAAGAAAAAUGACGGUACCCGGGGAAUAAGCCUUGGCUAACUACGUG
rnacentral:rRNA from 1 species